UACGUAGGUGGCAAGCGUUAUCCGGAUUUAUUGGGCGUAAAGCGAGCGCAGGCGGUUUUUUAAGUCUGAUGUGAAAGCCCUUGGCUCAACCAAUGAAGUGCAUCGGAAACUGGAGAACUUGAGUGCAGAAGAGGAGAGUGGAACUCCAUGUGUAGCGGUGAAAUGCGUAGAUAUCUGGAAGAACACCAGUGGCGAAGGCGGCUGUCUGGUCUGUAACUGACGCUGAGGCUCGAAAGCAUGGGUAGCGAACAGG
rnacentral:rRNA from 1 species